rnacentral:rRNA from 1 species
UUGACCUCAGAUCAGGUAGGGCUACCGCCUGAACUUAAGCAUAUCAAUAAGGCGAGGAACAGAAACCAACAGGGAUUCCCCCAGUAGUGGCGAAUGAAGCGGGAAAAGCUCAAGUUUGAAAUCCGAGGUUUACCUCGGAGUUGUAAGCUGAAGAGGCGUCGACCGACGCGGUCCGGGCCCAAUUUCCUUGGAACAGGAGGUCACGGAGGGUGAGAACCCCGUCUGUGGCUCGGGUGCCGUCGUCCUUGUGUCGUGCCCUCGAAGAGUCGGGUUGUUUUGGGAAUGCAGCUCAAAAUGGGUGGUAAAUUUCAUCUAAGGCUAAAUAUUGGCGAGAGACCGAUAGCAAACAAGUAGAGUGAUCGAAAGAUGAAAGUACUU